rnacentral:tRNA from 1 species
AAGAGAAGAUGAACUUACAAGGACUGCUACUUAUUUUUAAUUGAGGUUAAAUUCCUCAAGUCUCUUA